rnacentral:rRNA from 1 species
UACGGGGGAGCAAGCGUUGUUCGGAUUUACUGGGCGUAAAGGGCGCGUAGGCGGCCACCGCAAGUCGACUGUGAAAUCUCCGGGCUUAACCCGGAAAGGUCAGCCGAUACUGCGGGGCUAGAGUGCAGAAGGGGCAACUGGAAUUCUCGGUGUAGCGGUGAAAUGCGUAGAUAUCAGGAGGAACACCGGUGGCGAAGGCGGGUCUCUGGGCCGAUACUGACGCUGAGGAGCGAAAGCGUGGGGAGCGAACAGG